rnacentral:tRNA from 1 species
GGCCCGUUCGUCUAGUGGUUAGGACACCAGGUUUUCAUCCUGGUAACAGGGGUUCGAUUCCCCUACGGGCUA